UCGCGGGUCGUGGCUCGGCGACUGUCUCAGCGCCGUCAGCGGGCUCAAGUUGCAAGCAGAAGCAGGCCGCGGGUCCUGGCUGGCUGGCUUGCAAGUUGCAAGCAGCUUUCUCCACGCGGGUCGCGGGUGCCGGCUAGCUCCUCGCUCCUGCGGCUACGGUGCAGACUGCAGACGACCGCGCGGGCUCCAGCUUUGUCUCCGUCCGACCGUCUUAGUUACAAUUUGCCUCCUGCUAUCUAAUCUGCAUUGUGUGACUUUCAUUUGUUAGAAUCUAAGGAUAUUCCUUCACUUGUCACUGAUCUGACCAAUUUAGAGGACUUUGCAACAUAUGUAAAGCUUGCGAAUGAAGAGGUAUACAUGGUUCACUGCAC
rnacentral:lncRNA from 7 species